rnacentral:rRNA from 1 species
GGACUAACAGGUUGGUCGCGCCUUUGGUGUGUACUGGCCUAGUUGGUUUCUCCCUUCUGACGAACCACGAUGUCAUUAAUUUGGUGUCGUGGGAAAUCAGGACUGUUACUUUGAAAAAAUUAGAGUGUUUAAAGCAGGCAUUCGCUUGAAUACAUUAGCAUGGAAUAAUGAAAUAGGACGUUUGAUCUUAUUUUGUUGGUUUCUAGGAUCGACGUAAUGAUUAAUAGGGAUAGUUG